rnacentral:lncRNA from 1 species
GAACAUUUCUUCAACUGCAUGCUACAAGAUUGCUCGAUAGCUACGCGCUAGCUAGCGAGACGCGUGGGAUAGAUGGCUCCUCGUACGCCCGACGCCCGGCCCGUCAGAAGAUUCAGACGUCGACGGUGCAGUCGGCGGGGUGGGUGAACUUGAGGGAGACGGUGGUGUUGACGCCGGCGGGGACGGCGGCGCCGCUGACGGCGAACGCCCCUCCCACGGCGGCGCCCGAGGUGGCGAGCAGGGCGGGGCAGUUGACGAAGAGGUGGUACCCGCCGGAGACCCAGCUCCCGACCUUCCACUUGACGCGGCCUUCCAGCUUGACGUGGAGGAGCACGUACCCGGCCGAGAUGUCCUGCCUCAUGGCGUCCGCCACGUACUGCGACACGGGGACGGCGUCCCCGGACAUGACGGGGGACCACACCGACGCGUCCUUGUGGCCCUGGUAGAUCGACGGCAGCGACACGGGCACCGUCACCGGCUCGUCCCGGUACGUCGUGAACGCGUCCAGGGUCUUGUAGUACACGCCCACGCGCUCGUUCGGGUUCCGCGACGCGAUCGUCACCUGCGGCCAUUGCCAACAACAGCAAGGUUUUUCGUCGGCAUCGUCCAUGUAGCUAGCUGCAGAGCUCAACGUUCCCCGAAUGUGCGAGUAUGCAUACACGUUACCUGGAGGUUGAGGGAGAUGGCCGGGUCGCUGAGGUCGAUGGAGCGGAGCUGCACGUCCUGGAGGUAGAAGGAGGGCUUGGAAGGGUGGAGCGCGAGGUAGAUGACGAGGACGAUGAAGCCGACGACGGCGGCGAGCGUGAGGAAGCAGGCGCAGAUGGAGCCGCAGCAGCGACGGAGGAUCCAGUCGCGGUGGUGCUUCUCCUUGCUCAUGGCGACCUGCUGCGGAGUGCCGAUCGACUGGGUUCAGCUCAGCUCAGUGCUGGUCUGAAGGGAAACCGAGACUGAUGGCAGAGCUCUCGCGGCUCUGCUCAGCAGCUCGCUGGAUAAGCUAGGAGGACUGUGCGCGCAUGUGGGCAGUGGGAGGCUAAAGUGGUGGCGCGAGUGUGGGUGGCCUUUUAAUUACUCCAACAACUCGACUAAACUAGAGGCGGUGCGGUGUGUUUUUUUUAUUUUUAAAAAGGGCUCUUGUUUUGGGAUGGAGGCGAGGAAAGGUACAGCACACCUCACGAAGAUUCUUCGGUUUCUUCCCGGGCCCCCCGGAGCAUGGAGGUUGCCUAUCAGUUGUGAGCUAGUGCAUGUGCAUCUGAUUUGAGAUUCGCGGCCGAAGAACGAGUAUUACCUACUACUGAAUACCGAUGAGCUCGCUGGUGCUUGAGGUUCACUCCAUCUCAGCUGGUCAACUGGGGACGCUUCUUGGCCUUCUGGCAUGUGCACGUUGAGACUACCAGCAGCUGACUCUCAGCCGAAUAUUCUUUCUGCCAUUGACCUGUGCCGCCGAGGAAUCGAAAUGUUUCAUAUAGGUGACUACACGCUUUGCUAAAAAAGAACUCUGCUAAAGAAGAAGAAGAAUUACUGCAGCUUGUGAUUCUUCUACGGUUGACCGGCCGGUCCCAACGGAUGAACCCCAAAUGUGUGGUGUUCCAUGUUCGCGACUAGUUCGUGAGGCCGCACGAGCGCGUACGCGCGAGAGAUUUCGCUCUGGAUCUGCUCGUCCCGUUUUCUCCCAUCCCAGCGCAGCGCUACGGCCUAGGGCAGCGGCGGCGCACGGCGAUCCCGAGGGUCGUCGGCGCACACGCUGCCUCGUGCGCCCCCGGCCACGCGCGCCGAUCGAUCGAUCUAUCCACCGACCGGCACCGGCCC